rnacentral:rRNA from 1 species
UACGUAGGGUGCGAGCGUUGUCCGGAUUUAUUGGGCGUAAAGAGCUCGUAGGCGGUUUGUCGCGUCUGCUGUGAAAACUCGGGGCUUAACCCCGGGCCUGCAGUGGGUACGGGCAGACUAGAGUGCGGUAGGGGAGACUGGAAUUCCUGGUGUAGCGGUGAAAUGCGCAGAUAUCAGGAGGAACACCGGUGGCGAAGGCGGGUCUCUGGGCCGUAACUGACGCUGAGGAGCGAAAGCAUGGGGAGCGAACAGG